rnacentral:snRNA from 1 species
GUUUCUCUUCAGUCCGUAUAAAUCUUUCGCCUUUUACUAAAGAUUUCCGUGGGGAGGAACAA